UGGGGAAUUUUGGACAAUGGGCGCAAGCCUGAUCCAGCCAUUCCGCGUGCAGGACGAAGGCCUUCGGGUUGUAAACUGCUUUUGUACGGAACGAAAAGCCCUUCUCUAAUACAGAGGGGUCAUGACGGUACCGUAAGAAUAAGCACCGGCCAACUACGUGCCAGCAGCCGCGGUAAUACGUAGGGUGCAAGCGUUAAUCGGAAUUACUGGGCGUAAAGCGUGCGCAGGCGGUGAUGUAAGACAGAUGCGAAAUCCCCGGGCUCAACCUGGGAACUGCGUUUGUGACUGCAUCACUCGAGUACGGCAGAGGGAGGUGGAAUUCCGCGUGUAGCAGUGAAAUGCGUAGAUAUGCGGAGGAACACCGAUGGCGAAGGCAAUCCCCUGGACCUGUACUGACGCUCAUGCACGAAAGCGUGGGGAGCAAACA
rnacentral:rRNA from 1 species